rnacentral:misc_RNA from 1 species
GAUGAAGAACGUAGCGAAAUGCGAUACGUAAUGUGAAUUGCAGAUUUCAGUGAAUCAUCGAAUCUUUGAACGCACAUUGCGCCCCCUGGUAUUCCGGGGGGCAUGCCUGUCCGAGCGUCAUUGCUGCCCUCAAGCACGGCUUGUGUGUUGGGCCUCCGCCCCCCGGCUCCCGGGGGGCGGGCCCGAAAGGCAGCGGCGGCACCGCGUCCGGUCCUCGAGCGUAUGGGGCUUCGUCACCCGCUCCGUAGGCCCGGCCGGCGCCCGCCGGCGACCCCCCUCAAUCUUUCCAGGUUGACCUCGGAUCAGGUAGGGAUACCCGCUGAACUUAAGCAUAUCAAUAAGCGGAGGA